AGAACUUUUGGGUUGGUUGAACACAUGGAGAUUUGGGAAGAGUGGUGCACCUGAAGAGGACACGGAAGCUCCAUGCCCUUCCUCCAUGCCUUGCCCUAUGCUUUUCUUCCAUCUGGCUGUUCCUGAGUCAUAUCCUUUUAUAGUAAACCGGUGAUCUAGUAAGUAAAAUGUUUCUCUGAGUUCUAUGAGUUGCUCUAGCAAAUUACAGAACCCAAGAAGCAGGGUUUGGAACCUCCAAUCUAUAGCCAGUUGGUCAGAAGCACAGCUUAUAACAUGGACUUGUGACUGGCAUUUGAAGUGGGGGUGGGGGCAGUCUUGUAGGACUGAGCUCUUAAGCUGUGGGAUCUGGCACUGUCUCCAGGUAGUGUCAGGAUUGAGUUGAAUUGAAGGACACCCAGCUGGUGUCGGAGCAUUGCUUGUUGGUGUGAGAAGAACCCCCUCCACCCUGGAGUAGGGUGCAGAACCCUUAGUUCCUUAGCCUUUUAUUAAUCUUAUUAAAAGAUCGAAACUCCCUUCAGGAUACCACCUAAGCAGAUUCCUAGCGUUUCUUCUCCACUAUUCAAUGAUUGCUCUACAAUUCAGGGUCUAUUUUAGACGUUAUUCACAUCAUGCUGGAUGACCAAGAGUUAACUCAAAAGCUAGUGAAAAAAUUGUGACAUCACCUAUGUUUAAACCACAGCUGUUAGGGUCCAACAUAGCUUUUCUGGGCAUUAAACAUUUGGCUAACUGUUUCAACAUCAACUGAGAUGUAGGAUGAUGCAUUUUGAAUCUAGUACAAACAGCACAUUUAAAUAGUCAACCACCGUUUCAUAUUCCUAGGCAUGCAUCAAAGGAAAUGAUGUUUCUGCUUUUUUCUUUUUCCCCUUUAGUAGUCUCCCUACAUAACAGAGACCAGGAUCUGUGAAAACAAACACUAAGGAGCUCACUUUAAAACAAAUAGUUGGUUGCGACAGCUCUGAUCUAGAAGGAAUAACUGACCUUUACUGGGAAACAGUUUGCUUUGCCUGAGGAGAUUCGAUUUUUCAAUGUGAUCAUCUUCUUGGGGAGAGUAUGUGCCCUCACCAUUGCCUGGGCAAGGUUGGAUGACUUCUCCUCCUGGUAGCUGUAGAGACCAUCAUGUGCCAAACAGUGUGCCACAUGCUCUACUUCCAUUAUUUCAGUGCCACUCUGGGAGUUGGAGACAUCAUAAACUCUCUUUCACAGGUGUGCAAGCUUUGGGUAGAAAGGGAAUGUGACUUUCCUGUAGUUGCAAUGCUAGUGAGUGGUAGAGCCAGGACUCAAAAUCAGUCUGAAAUGAAAAGCCAUACAUUUAACCAUUAGUCUAUAUAUUGUACUACAUUCCAAAGAAGACCCAGAGGUUCUCAGGGAAGAAGCAACAUGAAAAAGCUUAGAGGCCACUGAUAUUUUCUCCUUUUGCCUAAGUGAGUUUGAUGGGUAAUUUUAUGUGUCAGCUUGCCUGGGUUACAGUGCCUAGAUAUUUGGUAAUGUGUCUGUGAGGGUGUUUUUGGAUGAGAUUUACACUGAAAUUGGUGGACUUCAAAUGAAGCAGAGUGCUCUCUAUAAUGUGAAUGAAUCUCCUGAAAUCAGUUGAAGGCCGGAACAGAACAAAAGACUGACCUCCCCAGAGCAAUAACAAAUUGUGCCAGCAGAUGUCCUUUGGACUUGAACUGCUACACUGGCUCUUCUUGGGACUCCUGCUUGCCAGUCCACUUGGCAGAUUUUGGACUUGAUCGCUUCCAUGAUUGCAUGUCAAUUCCAAAAUUGUCAAUUCCAAAAUAAAUCAUACACACACACCCACAGAACCUAUUGGUUCUGUUUCUCUGGAGAAAUCUAAUACAGUAAAGAGAGGAAAAUCAAAUAAAUGUCCUCUGGGAUUGCAGGGCCCAGUCAUGGAGAUACUAGCCCAACGGAGAGAGCAGGAACUGUUUCCACAGUGGACAGGUCUGCAGCAAACAUAGCCCAAGAGCCAUGACUUAUCAUCCUGUGCACCAGGCCCUCCUGUGGCCAAUACAGCUGUCAGGGCGUAGCCCCGCAUAGAACAGCUCUCAAGUCUUGACCUCCAGAUGGAGUCAUCUUCCUUGAAAUUCUGCCUUCUUUUCUGAGAGGCAUAUUUCCACAGGAUUUGAUUCACUUGUGGUGAAUGUGAAGAAUGUCAGGAACAUCAUUCACCGUUGGUGCGUAGUAAACCUGGUGGUUCUGAGUCAAGGCUUGAUGGUUGGUAUCAGUUCUAAUUUUGGUUCUGUUACUUCUAACCAGGUGACUCUGAGCAAGCUUGGACACCUUUUGUCUUAAUUUCCUCAUCUGUAAAAUGAACAUAACAACAGCAUCUACCCCAUAGAGUUCUAGGAAGAUUAAUUGAAACAAUAUGUGUACAAUACCCUAAGGCUGAAGCAAGGUAAUCACGAAAAUAUUAGUGAUUGUAAUGAUGAUUAUUAUUAUAUCUUAUCAAGAGUUGGUUUUUCAGCCAUGCUUGGUAGUCUGUUCAAAGCUCUUUGAUUUAUUGACCCUAUACCCUCAUUGAUAGAAUUUUUGAUUCAAACUUGACUCUCUAGCAAUCUGUAGAAGUCUUUAACUACAUCCUCGAUUUCACUUGCUGGACAUAUGCAGGUAUAUAACAUAAUUCCUGCCCUCAAGAGGCUUGUAAUCAUAAAUCAGUGAGAACCAACACCUAAGACUCUUUUGAUUUCUAAGGUGCUUAGUUCUUAGUUGCUAAGUUUCCUAAGGCCUCUUACUUUCACGAAGGUCUAUGUUUUUGCUCACACCCAAAAGUUGAGGAAUUUACCUUGAUUCUUCCCUUUUCUUUACCUCUCAAAUCUAAUCCACUAGCAAAAUCUCAUUAGUUUUAUCUCUUGUUUAUACAUUCUGAAUCUAUUUCCUUCUUUGCAUCACCACUGCUAACACCUGUAGAAUUUUAGCUGUGAUAAAAAUUAUAUGCUUCCUUUUGCCCAGCUUGAUUGAAAAAGGAACACCUAAAACAAAGAAUCCUGCGCCAGGAGAAGAUGCUGUGGGAAGAGGUGCUGUUCAUGAGGACUUUACUUCGAUCUGAGAAGAAACUGAAAGUAAAAAGAAGUUUUGAUUAUCCAGUUAAUCAAGCUGAAGGUGGGUUCCAACAGGACUGAAUUUAAAUCUGUUUUUCUGCCUGUCCCAAGUGGUAGAUUUCCUCUUUUGAGAUUUCUUUCAUCUCCUAUAAAGACAAGUUUUACCAUCAAAUUCUUUUUAUCUGAUUUUGCCUUUUAAUACCUGCAUUGUAAACUUUGAUCUCUCUUGAAAAAAGUGGGUGGAAUCAUGAAACAUUGAAAUCGUGUUGAUUACUAAAAUGUAAGCUUGCUUUUCUUUGUUUCUGUUGCACAUGACAUCAUUGAUUUCUUUUCUCUCCACUUCCGCUUCCUUUCUUUUUUCUCCCAAAAGUACAUGUUAUCUCCAAAAUUUUCUGAGUAGGAAGAAACUAGUUCAAUUUCUGUUUCUUCCAGCAUCCACUAGUUUUAGAAUAAAGAGUUGAUUACGAUGCUUCUAAUUCAAAAGCACUGUGGUUUGGGGCCAGCCCGGUGGCAUAGUGGUUAAGUUUGUGUGCUCUGCUUUGGCACCUUGGGGUUUCGCAGGUUCAGAUCCUGCAUGCGGACCUAGCACUGCUUGUCAAGCCACGCUGUGGUGGCAUCCCGCAUAAAAUUGAGGAAGAUUGGCACAGAUGUUAACUCAGGGCCAGUCUUCCUCACACACACACACACAUACACACACACACACAAACCAAUGUGGUUUAUUUUUCCCAAACACACUGGUCUAUUGAUGUCUCUGCCGUUUCUCACCUGGAUUACGCUAUUGCCACCUAACCAGUGUCUUUGCUCACUCUUGAUCCACGAUUACCCAAUUUUCACCCAAUUUGAUAUAAAAAUAUCACAGUGAUAUUUUUAAAAUUUGGAUGAUGCCAACUCCAGCUGAAAACUCUCAAAUCUUCCUACCAAAUCCAGUGGAUUCUGGCCCCUCUUAUCCCUCUAACUCGGUCACUACACUCCAGCUACACUGGCCUCUCUUGGACUAUCGCAGGCUUGGUUGUACCUUAGGGUUUGGAGCCCUAGUUUGUUUUAUAUCUGCCUCCUUCUCAUCAUUCAUGUCUCAUCUCAUAUGUCACCUCUUCAGAGAGGCCUUCCCUGACCACCUGCCCAAAGUGUGUCUACCUCAGUGCUCAUUGCUGUCACCUCACUCUGUUUUGUUUCCAUCAUGGUUUACCUCACUCUGAAAUCAGCAAGUUUAUUUAUUUGAUUUUAUAGUAUAUUCUUUCUGGUUUCCCAAUAAGAUAAUGAACUUUUGAGGGUGUUGACUUUGUUUGUCUGGUUUGCCACUGUAUCUUGAGCACCAGAAUAAUCCUUGGAACAUAGUAAUUGUUCAAUAAAUAUUUGUCAAAUGAGUAAUUAGUUACCUAGGCAUGUUUCCUAAUUAUAUUCUGGUCAGAGACAUAUGUGUGCCUCUUGAUUGAGAAGUUUGGCCCUAAUUAUAGGUUCGUCUAAAUAUAUCAAAACAAAUGAUGCCUGCUAAUUGCUCAGGUUCUCAUAUUUUCAUGGAGUGGGUUGAAUUAAUCUUCAACCUGGGCUGUCAUAAUGUAUAAGGGUGUAUAUUGAUGGAGAAGUCUAGCAGCAAUAUUUCUUGGACAUUAUGGGAAAUGCAGGAAUGACGGCAGGACCCAGUAGGAAUGCCACUGACUGAAGUCCGUAAAUGUGUAGGCAUCUAAAUAUCAGGGAAGAGUCUUUACCCCACCCCCCUUUAUCACUCACAUCAAAAGUCUUCUUAAAGAUUCUUUAGCACAUGAGUGCUAAAUAGUAUGGAACUUUCCAGCCCAGGAGAACAAAGGCAGCAAGUGACAGAUUCUGUCUAGUGGCUCUCCCCAGUAUAGCUGGAAUUUAAUUUCAAUAAAGCAGAUGACUUCUUAGGGAGGGUAAGUGAGCUAUUAAUUCAUGAGAAGGAAAAGAGGAGGUUAAAUGUGGGGCUGUCAAUCCGAGCAAUGCCCUUGCAAGACAGAUGAUACCAUCUUCCCUUUUCAAUAGCCUUCCUGGCAUCUAAUUUGCAUGAGUUGUGAGAUAACACUCAGCUCUGUCUCAUUUGCAAAUCUGGAAACAUAAGGGACAGACAGGCCUCCAACAGUAAAUCCAGAAAGUGUAGCAAGGUUAACUCUUCUCAUUUAGAGACGGAAAUGAUGUGCUGGUCACCGCCUGGAUGAAAAAGAAGGGCCUGUGAAAUUAUGGGGAUAUCUACGAAAGUAAAUAUGGUUAUAGUUCCCGAAAUAAGACAGUCAGAUAAAGGAUUUACUGUCCCAAAAUCAAGGGUGUCUUCAGAAGACUGCUCCUUAAUGAAUGAAUGGAAUUCUCAUCAAGCAAAAGAGCA
ensembl:lncRNA